rnacentral:rRNA from 1 species
GAUGAACGCUAGCUACAGGCUUAACACAUGCAAGUCGAGGGGUAACGAGAGGGAAGCUUGCUUUCCUUGUCGACGACCGGCGCACGGGUGAGUAACGCGUAUCCAACCUGCCCCCAACUAGGGAAUAACCUUGCGAAAGUAAGACUAAUACCCUAUAAUUUCCUCAGAUGUCAUCUGACGAGGAAUAAAGAUUUAUCGGUUGUGGAUGGGGAUGGUGCUGAUUAGCUUGUUGGCGGGGUAACGGCCCACCAAGGCAACGAUCAGUAGGGGUUCUGAGAGGAAGGUCCCCCACAUUGGAACUGAGACACGGUCCAAACUCCUACGGGAGGCAGCAGUGAGGAAUAUUGGUCAAUGGGCGGAAGCCUGAACCAGCCAAGUAGCGUGCAGGAUGACGGCCCUAUGGGUUGUAAACUGCUUUUAUACAGGAAUAAAGUUAGCCACGUGUGGUUAUUUGUAGGUACUGUAUGAAUAAGGACCGGCUAAUUCCGUGCCAGCAGCAGCCGCCG